rnacentral:lncRNA from 1 species
UUCUCUACUGUUAAAAAAAGACUCUAUUAUCAUUUGGCAAAGUUAGAAAAUAACCAAUUAUAAUUACAAAGAUAAUUUAUUCAUUUUGGAAAAAAACUAAUUGAGUCCCCUUAGUUGAAAUACAACUAUCUGUCUAGAUUUUUGAUCCCCACACACCCUCCAAAAGAGUGAGAGAAAAUUUUCACAUUGCAUUUGGUGAUGACUUUUUUAAUGUUGCAAAAUGUAAUUUGUGUAUAAGUAAACAAGAAUGAUGGCAUCACCAGUAUUACACAUGUUGUUUUCAUUAACUGUAUAAUAAGGGAAGCAUUAAAAUUAUCAAAGUACUGAGUGGCCCAUGGUCUUUCAAACCAUAUUUUUAUGGUCUGAAUGCUGAGAGUAAUUUGAAUGAAUGAUGAAAGCAGUCAGUGAAGCAGAGUGACCAUACUGACCUCUGUGGGAGGACUCAGAAGGACACGUGUAUAACAAUUUGCUCUCAAAACUACUAGCUGCUCAAAAACCUCCAACU